rnacentral:rRNA from 1 species
UACGUAGGGUGCGAGCGUUGUCCGGAAUUAUUGGGCGUAAAGAGCUUGUAGGCGGUUGUCGCGUUCUGCUGUGAAAUCCGGGCUCAACCCGGACUUGCAGUGGGUACGGGCAGACGUGGAGUGUGGUAGGGGAGACUGGAAUUCCUGGUGUAGCGGUGGAAUGCGCAGAUAUCAGGAGGAACACCGAUGGCGAAGGCAGGU